UGUAAAUGCACCGGUCACCGGUGCACUGCGGUCGAUACGGCGCGUCUGGAGUGUGGGAGAGGGAAGCGGAAUUCCCGGUGUAGCGGUGAAAUGCGUAGAUAUCGGGAGGAACGCCGGUGGCGAAGGCGGCUUCCUGGCCCGCAACUGACGCUCAUGUGCGAAAGCCAGGUGAGCGAACCGGAUUAGAUACCCGGGUAGUCCUGGCCGUAAACGAUGGACGCUAGGUGUGGGCGGUUUAUCCGUCUGUGCCGAAGUUAACGCGUUAAGCGUCCCGCCUGGGGAGUACGAUCGCAAGGUUGAAACUCAAAGGAAUUGACGGGGGCCCGCACAAGCGGUGGAGCGCGUGGUUUAAUUCGAUGCAAACCGAAGAACCUUACCUGGGUUUGACAUGCAGGUGGUACGAGCCCGAAAGGGUGAGGACCGCACCUUCGGGUGCGGAGCCUGCACAGGUGCUGCAUGGCUGUCGUCAGCUCGUGUCGUGAGAUAGUUGGGUUAAGUCCCGCAACGAGCGCGACCCUUGCUUCCAGUUGCCAUCAGGUCGAGCUGGGCACUCUGGAGGGACUGCCGGCGACAAGUCGGAGGAAGGCGGGGAUGACGUCAAGUCAUCAUGGCCCUUAUGUC
rnacentral:rRNA from 1 species